GCGAACUUCCCAACCCGGGCGCGAGGCGCGCCGGCCCGCGGGGGGAGGGAGUCCCGCGGCGGGAUUUGGGGGGAGGGCGUCCCGUUUCGUGAGUGUUUCUUCGUUUCUUUAAGAGCUACCAGAAAGCAGCCCACCCCCACCCCCAUUAAAAAAAAAAUAAGCGAGUGGGGAAGAGCCAGCCCCACGCCGGUCCGCCUCCCGCCCACGGCUCGGCCUCCCUCCCGCCUGGCUCGGCGCUCCUCAGCCCCGAGUUCUCCAUCCCCUGGAUCCCGGGCUCGCGGGGGCGCGGAGAAGAGGAUCCAGGAAAGUCAUUUAAUGCAGGUGGGCAUGCAUCAUGAUCCAUAAUACUCCUGCGCUCCCGCCUCCAGCCAUCCUUGGCCUCUUCACCUUCACGUCCUCCCUGCUGGAACCCAGCCUGGAAAAAUGAUUCCAAGCAUGUUGUUUUAUACCCAGCCAAGUCUGAAGCCCUGGAAGUGGAUCUGAUCUUUUACCUGUCUCUAGCAUUGAUGUUUUUUAUUCUGUUGAAGGCAUCAAUAUUUGUUCAAUAGUAUAAAUCUUAAAUAAGCAUCUAAACUACAUAUUACAGAUGAUGAAAGUCGUUUCUGCACAGAAGAUUAUCUCACAUGAUCGUGUUUCCUUCGUUAUCUGGGGCCUCUGUAGUUGGCAAAUCUCCGCAGCUACUUAAAUGAUAACAUUAGUCCUAAUGCCAUGUAAAAUGACUAGUUCCUCAGGGUAGGUUUAUUUUUAAUAGUGUAUGUCAGCAGCAAAUAGCUUGGAAGACCCCAGAGGAAAAAGCACAGCUCAGGCUCUCACUGAAGCGAUGAUACAGAUAUAUUUAAUAUCUAUAUUAAAAACCUUUUAGGCACCAUGGUGAUAUUGAACUGGAUAGUUAGGCAUGUGCAGGGAAAAUCCUGGGCUGUUUAUAGAGCGUGAUGCAGUGUGCAUAGUAGAAACCUUUUGAGGUUCUUCUAAGUCAAAUUUGGGCCUCAAAAAUCUUUGACAGACAUUUGACCCCAGUAGUAAAAUACGCUGAAACACAAGCUGGGAGAAUAAAAUUACUUCCUUUUCUCUUUUUUGGUAAGCCUGUUGAUAAGUUUGCUGCGCUAUUAAAAUGUUUAAUCACUUGCCUCCAGCAAGAGCAAGCUUCUGUCUGAAGUUGCAAUUUAUUAGAGUGCCCAGAACAUACUUGCUGUUUAUCCAAAAGAUGGCCAGGGAAUUCUUACAGAGAAAACAAACCACAAUUUGAAAUCAAGCAUAGAAUGGCAGAUGAAUAGAUCGAAGGCAAAAAUUAUUUUGGAGUUGAUUUCAGGGGAGACAUGAUAAAACCUGCACUGAUUUUCUAUCCCAAAGGCACAGGGUUAAAUCAUACAGUGGCCACAGGUCUGGCCUGUGAGAUAUCCCUGGGACAGAUGGUAAAAGUGGUGCCAGGCCUGUCCCAGGGAGGGGAGAAGAGGCAGCAGAGGAAAGGGCUGCUUGCUAGAAGCAUACCUUCCAAGAAGAGGCAUUUCUCUCUGCUUUCAGGUUUGGUCAGAGAAGCUCAGCCUGGAAGGGCAAUAAACAGAUAGGUGCCUGGUUUCAGCAGAAUGCUAUGCCCAAACCCCUCCUCCCUCCUUCUCUUCUAUGGACCUCACUCUGGCCUUUCAAACUCAUCCCAGGCAAACUGAGUCAUGGGGCAGGGAAAUGCCUUCAAGACAGUGAGCAUCAUUCAGUUAUGGCUCCCGAAGGCCUCUUGCUAGUGGCACAACACCAUGGACCUAGCCCUUGAAGGAAGAGGAGAGAAGGAGCGCCUUGGAGGGCCACGGAUAAUUAACUCCUUCCAGAAACUGGUAUCCAGGACUAUGCCUCGGAGGGCACCUACAGAUAAUGAGCCUACCAUCAGGUCACAAUUUUCUAAACACAGAUGUGUAAAGACAUAAGGAAUUUCCUGUUUAUCAUCCUGUCUUUGCCUAUACAAAUUCCUUUUUAAAUCUGGAUGAUUGUAUCCCAAACUGGGUUAUAAAGAAUAACAGAUAUUCUGGCAGAAAAGAAUACUACGGCUUAAUACAUUUGGGAAAUACUGCAUACCUUGAAUCAACAGAUACAAUGGCAUAUUAAUGACUCUCCUAUGUCCUGAACUGAAAACUAGCAAACAAAACUGGUUUCACUCUGUUUCCCCCAGUGUUUCUCCAAAUGGUUUGGCUACGAACUGCUUUCUUCACAGAACAGCUAUCAUCAUCUUACCUUUGUGGAAGGCAGUUUAAGAAUUGCUGUGUUAUGGUAGGCAGAAUUCUAAAAAUGCCCUUGUUUUCCCCAAGAUUCUCCUCUUCUGUUGAUUCAAUUGAAUAUUUACACAAAUGCUGCUGAGAGGGAAUUUUGCAGAUGCAAGUAAAGCCCUAAGUAAAUCGACUUUAAAAUAUGGAGAGUAUCUGGGUGAACCUGACCCAAUCAGGUGACCUCUUAAUUGAAAGGGUGAGGAUUUGAUGUUCCUUCUGUGGCUUUGAAGGUGGAGGGAACCCCAUGAGAAGGAAUAUGGGCAGCCUGGAGAGGCAGAGACCAACCCCAACCCCCAGCUGACAGCGAUGAAAUGGGGACAUCAGACCUGAAGCCACAAGGAACCGGAUUCUGUCAACAACUGUAAAAAACUGGAAGCAGAAUCUUUCCCAAAGCCCCCAGAUAAGAACCCAGAUGGCUGACACUUUGAUGUUGGCCUUGUGAGACUCUGAGCAGAGUCCAGGUGAGACUACCUGGACUUCUGACCUGUAGAAUUGUGGGAUAUUAAAUGGGUGUUGUUUUAAGCUGCUAAAUUUGUGGUAAUUCAUUUUGCAACGACAGAAAACUACUACAUACUGAUUCAGAGAAAUCAAAACAGAAGUGGUACACUCUUCUCUACCCUUUUACAUUCACACGGUGUUUCCAAUGUAACGCUCAUGUAUGGUCAGGGCAGGUGUCUCUGUUUUUACAGGUGAUGAUAUAGACUCAGAGAGAUUAAGUUACUUGCCCAGGACACUCAGCUAGGAAAUGGGGGAAGGGGACUUGAACGGGCUUUUUUGUGUGUGAGUUAGGAUGGGGUGGGGGCGUGUUUCCUUUACUGUCUUUUGCAUUCAAAUAGGAAAAGGCAUUUGGAGAGACUGCAGUUGGGAGCUUGCAAAGGAGGAUGUAAAAAAAAAAUCAGGGAAGAACACAUCAAGCAGCCGGUUCAACUGCUUCAUCAGAGAGGUCCUUUCUUUCAUCUCUUGUGUCUGAGCAGAAAAGCUUGUUAGAAAAAGGACCUACAGCUGUGAGUCAGUGACAAUGUGUGGGGGCAGGGUCUUAUGAGGCCACCGGAAGUGGGCUGCUGGGAUGCUUUAUACGGACAACUAAGGGUGAAGACACGCAGGCCUGUAAUAUCAAGAGAAACAAUGUUUGCAGGCUGACCGCCCAGAUGGGUGGUUUGCAGAGGUGGAGCUGCCUGCAUAAUUAAUCAGCUCUAGCUUUCUUCGCCACAACUAGCAUUCCUACCUGUACCCGCAGCCCUUGAGGGGCCCCUCACUCAGUGUCAUGGAGCAGACAAGUCAUCUGGGACCACUGCCCACUAACCCCCAUGGACAGAAGUGGAGACUGAAGCCCUGAAAAGGAACAGGACUUCCUCAAGGUCACAGUCAAGGAUCCCCUAACAUAUGACAAUUCUCUGUGUUGGUUAGUGAUGACUUCCUGAUGAGCCAGUAUUCCUUACUGAGCAAAUUUAGUGUGUGUGUAUGUGUGUGUGUGUGUAUGUGUGUGUGUUUUGUGUCCAGUAUGAGAGUCAGAACUGUGAAGUGUUAUUAUUGUCCUAAUAAUAAUAGAAGUCAAUACCCACAGAGUAGAGACCCAGUGCUUGAUGCUGUCUUGAAAGUGCUUCGUGCUAACCCCAUUCUCACAGCAAGCCCAUGAGGUAGUCAGGAAAUCAUUAGGGCUCUUAACAAAUGUUUCUGUCCAGAAGUGGAUCCAGGUUUUGCAGAGCUUAAAGCUUAUCCAAUUUGUGGGGACCUCUUGAAGGAAAGGAAUACCAACUUACAAAUAUAAAUUAGGCACAAGGCCUCAUGAAAGAGAAGAGCUUGGAAGCAUUACAGUAAGUCUGUUAGUUGCACGUUAAUGCUCCCUGCCCCUUGUGAAGUUACGCAAGAGAAUGACUUGCUUUGACCAAGGGGAUGUGAAUGAAAUUGAUGUGUGUCACUUCUGCGUGGAAGUCUUAAGAUUUAGUGGGUGAUUCUCCACUUUGUUUCCUAACCCUGACUCCCAUGGUCCCUGGAUUGACCAUGGAAACGUGUGCCAAGAUGGAACCUCCUUUGCCCUGGAACUCUGAGUCUGUGAUAUCUAGAGCAACCUCUCUCUUAACCCUGCCCUGUGUCAACCGACAUGAGAUCUGGAGUGUAAGUAAGAAAUAAACUUUCGUCUUGGUAAUUCACUGAGAUUUUGGAGAUUUUUUUUUUUUUAACCACAGUGAACAUCACUUAACCUAACUGAUAUAGGCAGGGUCUUAUUAUUGUUUCCGUUUUCCAGAUGAGAAAAUUGAGACAUAGAGAGAUUCAGUUACUUGCCUGAGAUCACCCAGCUAGUUAAUGGUAAAACUGGGAUAAAUGGCUCAGUGUCUUUGUUUCUAGGUGACAUUAGGGAGUGGAGGGGACUUCAGCAAACUGAAGAUAUUUGUUCCAUCUGAAGACUGCUUCUGACUUCCUGCUGAUGGUUGUAAAAGAGGAAUGUAGGCCUUCAUUGCCAGAUCCUCUCAUUUUUUUUUUAAGCAGAAGCCAAAAAUCCAGCAUUUUAAUGUAAAACCAACUGAUUGAAAUAUUUUCUUUUUCUUUUUUUAAACACCAUGAAACUAAGACAUCAGUGAGCUAGGAGGCUUGGUUCAUCAGUUUGAGACCUUACAAUAUCCAAGUUUUCUUUAAAAACAAAACACUAAAAAUUCAAGCCACUAACAGGUAGUGACAUAGCCAUGGUAGUCUGAGAAGGCUUUGGUGGGGAGGUAGGACUGUGGCAAGAUGUCCAGUGCCCAGAGAGGUUCCCUGCACUAAGAUGAUAGGGGUCGGGGAUGUUCCUGGGCUGGGGAUGGAAAGAGAAUAGUCACACAGAUUUUCAAAGACUCAGUCACAUCAAAAAUGUUUUGUGGUCAGGCACAGUGGC